UCAAAGCAUUUCUCAACUGUUAUAUGUGGUGCAUGAAUUUUCCUUGGAUUUGUCUUUGUGGGGAAAAAAACGGGCCAUGUGCUGAGCAGGGACCCGCACGGAAAGCCACUGUCUGUGAAGUUGCAACAACAUUCGUUUUCUUUACAGAUGAAUCAAUAAGACCCUAGCACGAACCAGGGCCCUAGGAACACCGCAUUCUCCAAGCCAGUUGGAUUUUGUGUCUAGUAAUCCAGAACCUUGAUCAACAGUCUCCAUGAAGCAAAGAAACGGGAGCACUGAAUUCACAGCCCGGAUGCCAAGGUCGUCGGCCAAUCACAAAGUUGUGCCCCAUACCUCCUCGUGUUGGUGUCAAAGGGAAAGGAGCUGGGUGGGAUUUAUGAACUGAAGACCAGAUUUGCCACACAAAAGACCAGCUGCUUAAAAAACCGGAUCACGCUGGACAGCUCUGAGGUUUUAGCAGCUUCCAAGGCAGCAGCCCAAUUUCAUCUCUCCAACCUCAACGUCUGUGCCAAGUGACCUCCCCUGUGUGUCCACCCUCAGACCUUCCACUGAUGCUGAGCCUUUGUUCCCUCUUCCGAGAGCCCUUGCAAUUCCGUGGAGCCUCCCAGUCCCCGGCCCGAAUACUACCGCUUGUUAGAUCAGUGUCCCUAACAAUCAGCACGGACUGAGAACCGAGGGGAGACUCCCACAACGUCAAAGCUUCAGGUCUGAACGCCCCACCCUCUCCUCACGCCUCAGGCUCUCUGAGGACCCCACCUCAGCCCCGACCAGGAGCCCGAGCCACCCAUCCUCUCCUGAGCAAUCAAAAGGAAGUCUCGGUCUGAAACUCCUGGGUUCACCAUCCUGGGACUCGGGCCACAUAUUGUACCGAAAAGUUUUCCUGUUGCCUCAGCACCGAGGAAACUGUAAGGGUUUUGGAAGCUUUAUGUCAGGAACUGGGGCAGAGACCAAAUACACUUAUUACAUC